rnacentral:lncRNA from 10 species
AUUUUCUCCUCUAACCUCUGAAAACAACAAAACAAACAGGUACCGCAUUCUGAUGAAACUACUGAAGGACUUUACUGAUACCAGCUGGUCUGAAGGACCCCAUGAGGUGCUGACUUAACAAAGAAGACAGAAUGCAGUUUCCAUAUCCUGAUGAUUUCAUCCCCCUUGCCUCAACCAAGCAAUGACUCCAAUUUUCAACCUGUCACCCUCCAUGAUUCUCUUAAAACCCCCCACCCAGAACCCCACUGGGGAGAUGGAUUUGAGGGUCUCCUCCCACCUCCUCACUCAACACCCUGUGAUUAUUAAACUCUUU